UGGAUACCAGGAUGUUCAUCAAGUUGUUGAUUCUUUUGAAUUUGAACUCAUUGAUAAGCUGGCUGAUUUUAUCCGUUAUGAUUGGUAUAAGGAGCAUGGCAUUAUAUUUUUAGAGGUAGCUUUCACGUCAUUAAAAAUAAGAUUAUGUUUGUUAAAAAUAUAUAUUUAAAGUUGACUACUAGCAAUUUGUAGUUCAUCACUUGAAUAUAAAUGUUUCCACAGUAGGAUUUUAGAAAGUUCUGGUGUAUCUCUGAAUGAAGGAAAGCUGAGAAAAGAUCAAUUCAUGGAUAAAGGAAGCCACAGUAAACAACUUGAUAAAAGGUAUCCCAUUUCCAAAUCAAUAGAAUUAGAGAAUUAUUUAUUGUGCUUGAUCUUAAAACAUUGAGACUGUCUAGUUAACAAAGUUGACAACAAGCAUGCUUAUUCUCGAAACUAAAGCACUCUAAACUGCACAGCACAAUGUUUGCAUGCUAUGUGAGGGAAUAAUAUUAACAGAAUUAAGAAGGGCAUUGUGAAACUCACAUUACCAACAUAUAUUGAACAGGAAUCCACCUCCUCCUUUUCUGCCUGAGUCGCAGAGGCAUCAGUUAAAUCUUCUAACAUGUCAUAAACAAAUGUUACAGUUAGUUGUGAGUCACCCGUUCAAUAUAAAAACCAAUUGUGAAUAAAAAAGCCACAUUAUCAAAUUAAGAAAAAUGGAAAGUAUGCUCUCUUGCGCAGAUUCUACAAACACAACACAAAUGUUGUGUAAUUUGUCGUUUAUUUUGCAGUUAUUUAAUUUAUUUCUAAUUUUUUUUGAAGUACAGCCCAUAUUUGACUCAUUUGCAAGUGUAACGC
rnacentral:lncRNA from 1 species